GAAAAGAAAGUUCUUUACUACUAGUAUUAGAAUAAUGUUCGAACGAAAUGACAUGAGUAAAGUGAAUCGAUUUGAUGACAUGCACCUUCCUUUUUGUUCAUAUUUAUUGGAGAAAUAUUGACUUGUGUAACAUUCGAGAUAUACUUGCUUACUUUUAAUUUGUAUGAUAUAGUACAACUCAGUGAAAAAAGUUAUCUAACUUAGAGUUUUCUAAUUAAUAAGCUGAUUAACUCUGGCUUGGAUUUCAUCAUUGAAUUUUU
rnacentral:lncRNA from 1 species